rnacentral:rRNA from 1 species
GAGUUUGAUCAUGGCUCAGGAUGAACGCUGGCGGCGUGCUUAACACAUGCAAGUCGAGCGAAAAUAAUUGAGAGCUUGCUUUUAAUUAUUUUAGCGGCGGACGGGUGAGUAACGUGUGGGCAACCUGCCUUUUACUGGGGAAUAAUCACUGGAAACGGUGACUAAUACCGCAUAAUAUUCUUAGGAGGCAUCUUCUGAGAAGGAAAGGAGAAAUUCGGUAAAAGAUGGGCCCGCAUCUGAUUAGCUAGUUGGUGAGAUAACAGCCCACCAAGGCAACGAUCAGUAGCCGACCUGAGAGGGUGACCGGCCACAUUGGGACUGAGACACGGCCCAAACUCCUACGGGAGGCAGCAGUGGGGAAUAUUGCACAAUGGGGGGAACCCUGAUGCAGCAACGCCGCGUGAAGGAAGACGGUUUUCGGAUUGUAAACUUCUAUCAAUAGGGAAGAAAGAAAUGACGGUACCUAAAUAAGAAGCCCCGGCUAACUACGUGCCAGCAGCCGCGGUAAUACGUAGGGGGCAAGCGUUAUCCGGAAUUACUGGGUGUAAAGGGAGAGUAGGCGGCAAGGUAAGCGAUAUGUGAAAGCCUUAGGCUUAACCUGAGGAUUGCAUAACGAACUACCUAGCUAGAGUACAGGUGAGGAAAGCGGAAUUCCUAGUGUAGCGGUGAAAUGCGUAGAUAUUAGGAAGAACACCAGUGGCGAAGGCGGCUUUCUGGACUGAAACUGACGCUGAGGCUCGAAAGCGUGGGGAGCGAACAGGAUUAGAUACCCUGGUAGUCCACGCUGUAAACGAUGAGUGCUAGGUGUCGGGGAGGAAUCCUCGGUGCCGGAGCAAACGCAAUAAGCACUCCACCUGGGGAGUACGACCGCAAGGUUGAAACUCAAAGGAAUUGACGG